UAACGAAGGGGGCUAGGCGUUGUUCGGAAUUACUGGGCGUAAAGGCGAAACGUAGGCGGUGUUCCAUGUCGAGAGGUGAAAGCCUGGGCUCAACUCCAGAAUUGCCUUUGAAACGGGAACGCUUGAGUCCGAGAGGAGGGUGGCGGAAUUCCUAGUGUAGAGGUGAAAUUCGAUAGAUAUUAGGAAGAACACCAGUGGCGAAGGGCGGCCACCUGGCUCCGGUACUGACGCUCAGGUUCGAAAGCGAUGGGGAGCAAACAGGG
rnacentral:rRNA from 1 species